GCGCGGAUGGCGGAAUUGGUAGACGCACUUGCCUUAGGAGCAAGCGGGAGUAAUCCCAUGGAGGUUCAAGUCCUCUUCCGCGCA
rnacentral:tRNA from 1 species